UUGACCUCAAAUCAGGUAGGAUUACCCGCUGAACUUAAGCAUAUCAAUAAGCGGAGGAAAAGAAACUAACAAGGAUUCCCCUAGUAACUGCGAGUGAAGCGGGAAAAGCUCAAAUUUAAAAUCUGGCGGUCGUUGGCUGUCCGAGUUGUAAUCUAGAGAAGUGUUACCUGUGCUGGACCGUGUACAAGUCUCCUGGAAUGGAGCAUCAUAGAGGGUGAGAAUCCCGUCUUUGACAUGGACUGCCUGUACAUGAUGGUGCGCUCUCGAAGAGUCGAGUUGUUUGGGAAUGCAGCUCAAAAUGGGUGGUAAAUGCCAUCUAAAGCUAAAUAUUGGCGAGAGACCGAUAGCGAACAAGUACCGUGAGGGAAAGAUGAAAAGAACUUUGGAAAGAGAGUUAAACAGUACGUGAAAUUGCUGAAAGGGAAACGCUUGAAGUCAGUCGCGUUGGCUAGAAAUCAGCCUUGCUCUUGCUCGGUGUACUUUCUUGUCGACGGGUCAGCAUCAGUUUUGACCAUUGGAGAAGGACAUUGGGAAUGUGGCAUCCUUGGAUGUGUUAUAGCCCGGUGUCGCAUACGAUGGUUGGGAUUGAGGAACUCAGCACGCCGCAAGGCCGGGUCUCUGACCACGUUCGUGCUUAGGAUGCUGGCAUAAUGGCUUUAAUCGACCCGUC
rnacentral:rRNA from 1 species